rnacentral:rRNA from 1 species
GAUGAACGCUGGCGGCGUGCUUAACACAUGCAAGUCGAACGGAAAGGCUCCUGCUUGCAGGGGUACUCGAGUGGCGAACGGGUGAGUAACACGUGGGUGAUCUGCCCUGCACUUCGGGAUAAGCCUGGGAAACUGGGUCUAAUACCGGAUAGGACCACAUUUUGGAUGGUGUGGUGGAAAGUUUUUCGGUGUGGGAUGAGCUCGCGGCCUAUCAGCAUGUUGGUGGGGUAAUGGCCUACCAAGGCGUCGACGGGUAGCCGGCCUGAGAGGGUGUACGGCCACAUUGGGACUGAGAUACGGCCCAGACUCCUACGGGAGGCAGCAGUGGGGAAUAUUGCACAAUGGGCGCAAGCCUGAUGCAGCGACGCCGCGUGGGGGAUGACGGCCUUCGGGUUGUAAACUCCUUUCGCUAGGGACGAAGCGUUUUUGUGACGGUACCUGGAGAAGAAGCACCGGCUAACUACGUG